rnacentral:tRNA from 1 species
GUAGAUAUAGUUUAAAUAAAACACCAGGUUGUGAUCCUAGUAAUAGAAGUUAAAAUCUUUUUAUCCACC